AAGUGGGCACAGGGACCCAGCUCUAUAUUUCCAUCCCAUGCUGUCCCAAGACUCACAACAAGUUCCUGUGACCUCUCAAACUAUGCGAGGGGCCGGCAAACACGAACAGAGGGGUCUGGUCUUCCUAAGACACCACCAACACUGUGAGAAGGGGCCCAGAGGAGCGGCCACACCAUUCCCGGAGCUUGCCGAGAGACUCCGACACUGGUGUCAGUGGGAAUUCUGAAGCUCCCGGCACAUGAGCUCAUGCGUGGCCGAGUGCCCAGCCCUGUGCUUCACGGCUUUGGAAUGUGUUUUCUAGGCUGGCCUGCCUUGCUCCCCCCAUCUCACCACAGCAAGGGCUGCUGUCUGCUCUCGGCUCUUCAAAGCCAGGCAAAUUCCAGAAAGGGGCAGGGGCAAUACUAGGUCCUGAUAUCCAUACCCUCCCAUCUGGAAACAAACAAUUCUGAAAACUGGAGUGAAGCCAUGCCACCUGACCAGGAAGCCCACUCAGAAGCAACACACAAGGUCUCAGAAGUCCUUCUGACUCCUCUCCUCUCAGUGGGAACCUGAGGACAUACAGAGAGGGCCAAGGCUUGCCCACAGCAUCGGGAUCAAUUUCCCUCCAUCCUGACCUUGGUGGAGAGGCAUCCCGAGUUCCACCCCAGGCCAUUAGAGAGCGGUGAAGGUGGAGACAUGAGGAGUUCCAGCCCCCACUCCUUGCUCUGGACUCUUCCAACAGCACUGGCAAGAGCAGCCAGUGCUGUCAGUAUUAAUUUGCACUGGUGUGCGAUGCUGUCCCAGGCAAAAUUCUCCCUGAGGUCUCUUGCAAGCAGCGAAUAUGACCAGAAGGACACAGGCUGAGAAGAGGGGAUGGCCCUUCUGGCCCUGGCUCGGCACUGGCUCAGAGAGAGACAGGACCAUUGCCUCUCCCCAGUCUCCAGCCCUUGUCACUUCACCUGGCCCACAGUCAACCCCAGGAAAUGAGCAAGCGAAUGGAGGGCUGGAUGGAGGACUAUUAUCACCUCUCCAAGGGACCUCUGGGUCGUGUCCCUGCCACCCAGCUGUAUCUAAGCACUGGUAUCACGGCAGCGCCACUGGUCCUUUUUGGAUGAAUGCAGUCUAUGUAAUAGAUCGCACACACAGAGAGCACACCUCCCUCUGUCUGCUACCACUGAAGCACUCAACGAUCAGAUCACACCGUGUGUGAUGCCCUCCCCUCCCCCGUGGGGUGCCGAGGGAGAGCAGAGUUGGUUUUGAGAUGACCUUUUCCGUCUUCCCUUAGUAGUCUAUGAGAAUUUUAAGGCCAGAGGAUGGUCAUGGAGAGUGUGCAGAGAGCGAAGGGGAGGCCUGUCUUUCCACAAGAACUCUGAGCUCUUCCCUCCCCAAACAUCAGAAAGAGAUGGAAGAGGCUGCUUCUAACACCCACACCUUUCACAUCUCUGUUCAAUGGCCCCAGUGUUCUCCUAUAGCCCAGCAGUGGCCUCUGCCCUUACUGCCUCAGUCUCCCAACUUGGGGGCAGAGAUCAACCCAGAAGGUAAAGAAGACACAACAUCUUUACAUGGCCAGCAGUACUCCAGUCUCCAAGAUGUGUCCUGGCCUCCUGUCCCAUUAGGAGGACAAUGAGGGGUGGGGAGGGAUGGUGAGCUUGCUAUUCAAGCAGCGGCCCAUCCCACCCUUCAACCUCACCAGAGAUGAUGCAAGAUCUUCAAAGCCGGGAAGCUGGUGUCUGCCAGGGGACGAGGACACUGGGUAUCUUGCAAACCCAGAGGCAGGCUAGGUCAGCAACUGCUUACCUCUCCAGUGGAACCAGGGGUCAGCAGGGAGCCACCUACCCUGUUUGCCUGACCCUCGGGCUGCUGACAACCCUGUCAGGACGCUGCACUUGCCCCUGGCUCUGCACAGAAAAGGGUCGGGGGAGGGGGCACCGAGGGGUGGGGGGCGCCACAGGGACCAUACCCGCACCGCGAAACUUUACGCUGUAAAGUUAAUCCACUGAAGCGUAGCCCAAAAUAAGCGCACUGCCUAAUGUGCCGGGAACUGCCGGUCGCAAGGCCAGACUGCAAGCGGAUGUCUGCGCAUCUCCGCCCGCCCGCCCGCCCGGAGCCUGCAUUUAGCGCCAGCGAGGGAGUCUGGGCUGGAGCGCUGCUUUCACACCGACUCGAGCCGCGAGUUUAUGGAUCUUGAUUGCACCCAGCAGGGAAUCCUUUUUAGUGAUGAGAGAAAAAAUAUUCAACAACCU
rnacentral:lncRNA from 1 species